rnacentral:rRNA from 1 species
AGCGUAGGCGGCGUGGAAAGUCAGAUGUGAAAUCCCGAGGCUCAACCUCGGAACUGCAUCCGAUACUCCCAUGCUAGAGGACUGGAGAGGUGUUUGGAAUUAUCGGUGUAGCAGUGAAAUGCGUAGAGAUCGAUAGGAAGACCAAUGGCGAAGGCAGAACACUGGACAGUACCUGACGCUGAGGCUCGAAGGCUAGGGGAGCGAAAG